UCCUGGCUCAGGAUGAACGCUAGCUACAGGCCUAACACAUGCAAGUCGAGGGGCAGCAUGGUGCCAGCUUGCUGGCGCUGAUGGCGACCGGCGCACGGGUGAGUAACGCGUAUCCGACCAUCCGCGGGCCCGGGGAUAGUCUUCCGAAAGGAGGUUUAAUACCCGGCGGCGUCAGGGGGUUCCAUGGCCGCCUGACUAAAGGAUUCGUCCGGCCCGCGACGGGGAUGCGUUCCAUUAGCUUGACGGCGGGGUAACGGCCCACCGUGGCAACGAUGGAUAGGGGUUCUGAGAGGAAGGCCCCCCACAUUGGAACUGAGACACGGUCCAAACUCCUACGGGAGGCAGCAGUGAGGAAUAUUGGUCAAUGGGCGGAAGCCUGAACCAGCCAAGUAGCGUGAAGGAUGACGGCCCUACGGGUUGUAAACUUCUUUUGCGGGAGGAUAACCGGCGCCACGUGUGGCGUCCUGCAGGUAUCCCGCGAAUAAGCAUCGGCUAACUCCGUG
rnacentral:rRNA from 16 species